rnacentral:rRNA from 1 species
AGCGUUUGAUCCUGGCUCAGAUUGAACGCUGGCGGCAUGCUUUACACAUGCAAGUCGAACGGCAGCACGGGUGCUUGCACCUGGUGGCGAGUGGCGAACGGGUGAGUAAUGCACCGGAACGUACCCAGUAAUGGGGGAUAACACAUCGAAAGAUGUGCUAAUACCGCAUACGCCCUGAGGGGGAAAGCGGGGGAUCGUAAGACCUCGCGUUAUUGGAGCGGCCGAUGCCGGAUUAGCUAGUUGGUGAGGUAAGAGCUCACCAAGGCGACGAUCCGUAGCUGGUCUGAGAGGACGACCAGCCACACUGGGACUGAGACACGGCCCAGACUCCUACGGGAGGCAGCAGUGGGGAAUUUUGGACAAUGGGCGCAAGCCUGAUCCAGCCAUGCCGCGUGAGUGAAGAAGGCCUUCGGGUUGUAAAGCUCUUUCGCAAGGAAAGAAAACUUAUCUACUAA